UACAGAGGUCUCAAGCGUUGUUCGGAUUCAUUGGGCGUAAAGGGUGCGUAGGCGGCGGAGUAAGUUGGGUGUGAAAUCCCGGGGCUUAACCUCGGAAUUGCAUUCAAUACUGCUUCGCUUGAGUACUGGAGAGGAGGCUGGAAUUUACGGUGUAGCAGUGAAAUGCGUAGAUAUCGUAAGGAAGGCCGGUGGCGAAAGCGAGCCUCUGGACAGUUACUGACGCUGAUGCACGAAGGCCAGGGGAGCAAACGGG
rnacentral:rRNA from 1 species